GGUUAAGCGACUAAGCGUACACGGUGGAUGCCCUGGCAGUCAGAGGCGAUGAAGGACGUGCUAAUCUGCGAUAAGCGUCGGUAAGGUGAUAUGAACCGUUAUAACCGGCGAUUUCCGAAUGGGGAAACCCAGUGUGUUUCGACACACUAUCAUUAACUGAAUCCAUAGGUUAAUGAGGCGAACCGGGGGAACUGAAACAUCUAAGUACCCCGAGGAAAAGAAAUCAACCGAGAUUCCCCCAGUAGCGGCGAGCGAACGGGGAGCAGCCCAGAGCCUGAAUCAGUGUGUGUGUUAGUGGAAGCGUCUGGAAAGGCGCGCGAUACAGGGUGACAGCCCCGUACACAAAAAUGCACAUGCUGUGAGCUCGAUGAGUAGGGCGGGACACGUGGUAUCCUGUCUGAAUAUGGGGGGACCAUCCUCCAAGGCUAAAUACUCCUGACUGACCGAUAGUGAACCAGUACCGUGAGGGAAAGGCGAAAAGAACCCCGGCGAGGGGAGUGAAAAAGAACCUGAAACCGUGUACGUACAAGCAGUGGGAGCACGCUUAGGCGUGUGACUGCGUACCUUUUGUAUAAUGGGUCAGCGACUUAUAUUCUGUAGCAAGGUUAACCGAAUAGGGGAGCCGAAGGGAAACCGAGUCUUAACUGGGCGUUAAGUUGCAGGGUAUAGACCCGAAACCCGGUGAUCUAGCCAUGGGCAGGUUGAAGGUUGGGUAACACUAACUGGAGGACCGAACCGACUAAUGUUGAAAAAUUAGCGGAUGACUUGUGGCUGGGGGUGAAAGGCCAAUCAAACCGGGAGAUAGCUGGUUCUCCCCGAAAGCUAUUUAGGUAGCGCCUCGUGAAUUCAUCUCCGGGGGUAGAGCACUGUUUCGGCAAGGGGGUCAUCCCGACUUACCAACCCGAUGCAAACUGCGAAUACCGGAGAAUGUUAUCACGGGAGACACACGGCGGGUGCUAACGUCCGUCGUGAAGAGGGAAACAACCCAGACCGCCAGCUAAGGUCCCAAAGUCAUGGUUAAGUGGGAAACGAUGUGGGAAGGCCCAGACAGCCAGGAUGUUGGCUUAGAAGCAGCCAUCAUUUAAAGAAAGCGUAAUAGCUCACUGGUCGAGUCGGCCUGCGCGGAAGAUGUAACGGGGCUAAACCAUGCACCGAAGCUGCGGCAGCGACGCUGAUGCGUUGUUGGGUAGGGGAGCGUUCUGUAAGCCUGUGAAGGUGUGCUGUGAGGCAUGCUGGAGGUAUCAGAAGUGCGAAUGCUGACAUAAGUAACGAUAAAGCGGGUGAAAAGCCCGCUCGCCGGAAGACCAAGGGUUCCUGUCCAACGUUAAUCGGGGCAGGGUGAGUCGACCCCUAAGGCGAGGCCGAAAGGCGUAGUCGAUGGGAAACAGGUUAAUAUUCCUGUACUUGGUGUUACUGCGAAGGGGGGACGGAGAAGGCUAUGUUGGCCGGGCGACGGUUGUCCCGGUUUAAGCGUGUAGGCUGGUUUUCCAGGCAAAUCCGGAAAAUCAAGGCUGAGGCGUGAUGACGAGGCACUACGGUGCUGAAGCAACAAAUGCCCUGCUUCCAGGAAAAGCCUCUAAGCAUCAGGUAACAUCAAAUCGUACCCCAAACCGACACAGGUGGUCAGGUAGAGAAUACCAAGGCGCUUGAGAGAACUCGGGUGAAGGAACUAGGCAAAAUGGUGCCGUAACUUCGGGAGAAGGCACGCUGAUAUGUAGGUGAAGUCCCUCGCGGAUGGAGCUGAAAUCAGUCGAAGAUACCAGCUGGCUGCAACUGUUUAUUAAAAACACAGCACUGUGCAAACACGAAAGUGGACGUAUACGGUGUGACGCCUGCCCGGUGCCGGAAGGUUAAUUGAUGGGGUUAGCCGCAAGGCGAAGCUCUUGAUCGAAGCCCCGGUAAACGGCGGCCGUAACUAUAACGGUCCUAAGGUAGCGAAAUUCCUUGUCGGGUAAGUUCCGACCUGCACGAAUGGCGUAAUGAUGGCCAGGCUGUCUCCACCCGAGACUCAGUGAAAUUGAACUCGCUGUGAAGAUGCAGUGUACCCGCGGCAAGACGGAAAGACCCCGUGAACCUUUACUAUAGCUUGACACUGAACAUUGAGCCUUGAUGUGUAGGAUAGGUGGGAGGCUUUGAAGUGUGGACGCCAGUCUGCAUGGAGCCGACCUUGAAAUACCACCCUUUAAUGUUUGAUGUUCUAACGUUGACCCGUAAUCCGGGUUGCGGACAGUGUCUGGUGGGUAGUUUGACUGGGGCGGUCUCCUCCUAAAGAGUAACGGAGGAGCACGAAGGUUGGCUAAUCCUGGUCGGACAUCAGGAGGUUAGUGCAAUGGCAUAAGCCAGCUUGACUGCGAGCGUGACGGCGCGAGCAGGUGCGAAAGCAGGUCAUAGUGAUCCGGUGGUUCUGAAUGGAAGGGCCAUCGCUCAACGGAUAAAAGGUACUCCGGGGAUAACAGGCUGAUACCGCCCAAGAGUUCAUAUCGACGGCGGUGUUUGGCACCUCGAUGUCGGCUCAUCACAUCCUGGGGCUGAAGUAGGUCCCAAGGGUAUGGCUGUUCGCCAUUUAAAGUGGUACGCGAGCUGGGUUUAGAACGUCGUGAGACAGUUCGGUCCCUAUCUGCCGUGGGCGCUGGAGAACUGAGGGGGGCUGCUCCUAGUACGAGAGGACCGGAGUGGACGCAUCACUGGUGUUCGGGUUGUCAUGCCAAUGGCACUGCCCGGUAGCUAAAUGCGGAAGAGAUAAGUGCUGAAAGCAUCUAAGCACGAAACUUGCCCCGAGAUGAGUUCUCCCUGACUCCUUGAGAGUCCUGAAGGAACGUUGAAGACGACGACGUUGAUAGGCCGGGUGUGUAAGCGCAGCGAUGCGUUGAGCUAACCGGUACUAAUGAACCGUGAGGCUUAACCUUACAACGC
rnacentral:rRNA from 1 species